CCGGCGAGGUCGGGCACGACCUGGCUUCCAGGGCGGCUUGAUUAUAGUCUACAAGUGACCACGUCCCUUUUCUCCCCUUCUCCCGUAUGUAUAUCUCUAUGUUGUUUCUCCUCCUUUCUCACACGAAGAAACACACAGAGCAGUAAACAAUGGGAGGAUUUGGAGGCUGCUCAGUUUUGGAUAUGGGGGCUGCACGGGCUUUGAGCAGCAAGCCAUGGCAACGAAGAUGCUUGUGAAGUACAUGGUGGGGGCGUGCAUGGUUGAUGAUUAUGUUCUGGGUUGGCCAUUGAGAGGGAGGCCGAAGCAAACUCCAUCAGGUUUCAGAUAGCUACUUCAGGUUAGGCGGGAGAAAUAAAAAGGGUGACCAUAGAUAUAUGGUCUAGCAUCAUGAGGUUCAGGUAACUGCUGUUGAUCAACCGUUGCUUCGGUCGAGGUGGGUUAUGCUUGAUUAUGUUCUUCUUUGUGUUUUUUUCAUGGCCUACAAUGGUGUUAUCAUCUAUUCUGUUUCAUAAAUUUCAAUGGCUUAGUUUCAUGUCCCAGUACCACUUGAAGUACAACUAAGUACCUUCUGACAUGACAAUAAUGUAUGUAUUUACCUAUGGUUAUUGUUUCCUAUAAGAAACAUGAUCAUCUCACCUUGGUUUCCCCUGUAUCUGACUUGGGACAGUUUUAUGUGAGAUUUGUUUUGCAUUUUUCUGUGUGUGGAUGCUUAAGCUUAAUCUUUUGUUAUUAAUUUGGUUCAGUUAGAGAUUAAAGAAGACUGAAAUUAGGGGCUCGCAGCGAGCAUUGCUGUAACCUGCACAAGAAUGCCAAGAAGUCCUUCUCCGAGACGUAAGCCACGGCGCAUGUUUCUGCCAUGAUUUCCUUCGGUUGGAUUUCGUGGAUUUAGGUGUUGAAAAAUUAUGGGCUGUGGAUGCAGGAUUAAGGACAUGUACCUGCACUACAAUGAGUGAUCUGGGCUGCUUCUUUGUGGCUUCCAAACUUGAAAUGUUUUUUGAAAGUUAGUUUAGUUUUUUGUUGUGGAUUCACAGCUUCUCACAUGUACCAUUCUCUUAGCUCUUUAGAUUUCCAAAGAAACUAAAUGAAGAUAUGGUGGUAUGGUCUCAACAGUACAACUUAAAGGUUUCCAUGCUUUACAUUUUCUCUGAAUUUGCUCUUGAAGAAUCAUGUAUCCAUGUUAGAUCUGGUGAGAAAAGGCGGCUUCCAAGCAAAGGAUGUGGGAGUGUUGGCCACAUUUGGUUUUUGA